AUUGAACGCUGGCGGCAUGCCUUACACAUGCAAGUCGAACGGUAACAGGUUAAGCUGACGAGAGGCGAACGGGUGAGUAAUGUAUCGGAACGUGCCCAGUCGUGGGGGAUAACUGCUCGAAAGAGCAGCUAAUACCGCAUACGACCAGAGGGUGAAAGGGGGGGAUCGCAAGACCUCGCGCGCUUGGAGCGGCAGAGAGCAGAUUAGGUAGUUGGUGGGGUAAAGGCUUACCAAGCCUACGAUCUGUAGCUGGUCUGAGAGGACGACCAGCCACACUGGGACUGAGACACGGCCCAGACUCCUACGGGAGGCAGCAGUGGGGAAUUUUGGACAAUGGACGCAAGUCUGAUCCAGCCAUGCCGCGUGCGGGAAGAAGGCCUUCGGGUUGUAAACCGCUUUUGUCAGGGAAGAAAAGGUUCUGGUUAAUACCUGGGACUCAUGACGGUACCUGAAGAAUAAGCACCGGCUAACUACGUGCCAGCCGCCGCAGUAACAC
rnacentral:rRNA from 1 species